rnacentral:lncRNA from 1 species
AUGACAGCAUGACUCACAGAAUUUUCGUUAGGAUUAAAUGAGUAUCUAAUGAAAUGAAAAUACUGAGAUUGGGGCCCCAUAUGGCUGAGUAGAAGCAGCCAGUGUGCACUGCGCUCAUGGAAAAGAGAAAGAGGAACAAGUGAGCACUAGCUCCUCAACUGGAUGGGCCAGGCGGACACACUGGGGUUAAUCAAGGAAGCAACACAAUCCACAAAGAACAGAGAAAAGCAAGACAGGACAGCCACCUCCUCAGGACUGGCACAGAGUCAGGGGGAGGCUCCCCGCUGCCGG